AAUUAUUUGGACACAACAUAGGUACAUAAAAAACGAUGCGACAUUUCCACCCAAUAUUCGGGUCACACAAAAAGUAAUAUUGAAGAGAACAGAUGACUUUUUCAUGAAAAAUGUAUUAGCUAUGCAAACGGAUUCUUACGUACAAAUUAAUGCUGCCGAUAAUAACGAAAGUAGUUGUUCCAACAAUCAACCAUGUUUGUAAAAAUUUGAUACUUCAAUUAUCACGCGAUUCUGUUACAUGAAUUACCAAAUACGAAAUAACCAAACAAUAUUUAGAAUACUUACAUUUAUUUUAUAAAUAAAAAUGAU